rnacentral:misc_RNA from 1 species
AGAAGAGUCUCAUACAAUGAAGUUCAUGUAUUUCAUUAUGAUGGUGUCGUUGUCUCUUACAUAUUUGAACGUUAGCUCCCAAAAUCUUAAGAUCUUCCAGUAGUGAUUGCUAGAGUCUAGUACCAUGAUAAACAUUACGCAAAAUGAAGCAAUUUCACUGUCCUAAUUUUACACUGAUAGUAUCCUCAGUGAUAACUCUUCAAGUGGCAGGUGCAUUACUAUUAGUUGGAUGCGGUAACUGCUGAGUUUGCUGUGCUGUAUGUGAACCUAAGCCAAAAAUGUUUAUAGGCUGAGAAGCGCCUUGAAGUGGAUGGAACCCCAUGUAACUAGCAUAUUGAUCUGGAAAAUUGGGAUUCUGCAAAUGGCGUUGAUAGUUAACUUGAUUCAACAUUGAAUUCU